rnacentral:rRNA from 1 species
UACGGAGGGGACUAGCGUUGUUCGGAAUUACUGGGCGUAAAGCGCACGUAGGCGGAUUGUUAAGUCAGGGGUGAAAUCCCGAGGCUCAACCUCGGAACUGCCUUUGAUACUGGCAAUCUCGAGUCCGGAAGAGGUGAGUGGAAUUCCUAGUGUAGAGGUGAAGUUCGUAGAUAUUAGGAAGAACACCAGUGGCGAAGGCGGCUCACUGGUCCGGUACUGACGCUGAGGUGCGAAAGCGUGGGGAGCAAACAGG